rnacentral:tRNA from 1 species
AAGAGGCUAGAAUAUUGGAAGCGCGGGACUUAAGAUCCCGUCCCUCAGGGGUUCGUGGGUUCAAAUCCCACCCCCCGCA